GCUCUUAUAGUUCAGUGGCAGAACAAGUGAUUUGUAACCAUUAGACCUCAGUUCGAUUCUGAGUUGGAGCA
rnacentral:tRNA from 1 species